UACGGGGGGGGCAAGCGUUGUUCGGAAUUACUGGGCGUAAAGGGCUCGUAGGCGGCCAACUAAGUCAGACGUGAAAUCCCUCGGCUUAACCGGGGAACUGCGUCUGAUACUGGAUGGCUUGAGGUUGGGAGAGGGAUGCGGAAUUCCAGGUGUAGCGGUGAAAUGCGUAGAUAUCGAGAGGAACACCUGCGGCGAAGGCGGGUUGCUGGGCCGACACUGACGCUGAUGCGCGAAAGCCAGGGGAGCGAACGGG
rnacentral:rRNA from 1 species